rnacentral:lncRNA from 1 species
CUGACUGUCAACCUUCAAUACUAGUCCCAAAUGGACUUCCCGUCUUUUCGGAUUACUUAUCUACAAUGAACAUAUAUAGCAAUCUAGUAUUAGCAACCAAACGUCACAAUUCAAUUAUUUAAAUUCACCAAACUAGUGGUUAAGUAAUAAGCCUUAAUUACACCAAUUAUUUGGCUAGGGUUUGUUCUUUCUCAAUGAUUGAUGAUGAAAAUGAGUUUUUGAACUCAUAUACAUGUAUAUACACAUAUUCCUGUCCAUAAUAUAAUAAGAAAUGACCAAAAUGACUUUAAAAUUUAAAUAAUAUCAAAUCUGUCCUUUGGUAGACUGUUUUGUUAAGCUAAAGUAGAUCGACCAUAACUCUUUGAUCCGAUAUCGAAUUUGGGUGAAAUUGGUAUCGUUGGAAGGAUAAUUCAAAGGGCUUUCAUUUCAUAUAAAGUAGGCCACCCAGUUCAUCCUGUACAAGGAGUUAUGGUCAUUUGAAGUUUACCCUAAAAAUCUAUUUUGAUAGGCUGAAGUAAAACGAGUAUAACGCCUUACUCAGACGUUGGAUUUGGAUGAAACCAAUUGCAUUGGAAAGAAGACUCAAAGAUAUUUAUUUUCAUAGGUCGAAGCUCUCCCAGUUCAUUAUAUUAAGGGAGUUAUGAUCGUUUGAAGUUGACCCAAAAAUUCGGUUAGCCUCAGUAGUUUGUGUGCAGGAACAUUUACUAUUCCCAAAUAUCCCGGCCACCAUUUUAUAGUUUCGAACAUGAUCGAUUAUAGCCGAAACCUAUUCAUUUUUGGAAAUCUUUAUAUCGUUGCAAAUCUAAUUCAAUAACGUUCACAUGGAACCAUCAAUGGGCAAAUUCUGGUAUAAAUAAAAUAAAAUAAAAUUAAUUCCAUAUAAAUAAGACCAAUACACGUACUUGAAUACGCCAAUACACGUACUUGAAUACAAGGUGUUACACUAAAGAAGCCCUUUAAACAGAAAGCUGAUACUCUUUCUGAAGAAGAAUAAAAUAGAUAUAAUGGGGUGCGUAGAAACUAAGGUAAAAGAAUGGAAUGCAAAAAGAAUCCUAUCAAAAAUAGUUAGUGAUUGGAAGCAUUGUUGUAAUUACACUGCUGAAGCACCAAUUGGGAGAGUGUGGCUAUUAUGGAAAACUGAUAUUGCAAUCCAAGUUUUGGAUAUGGACAGUCAAUUCAUACAUUGUAAGGUGGAAGACAACCAGCAACAAGUAGUUAUCUUCUUCACAGUUGUGUAUGCAUGGAAUGAACAAAGCAAGAGGUAGAGUCUAUGGAGUGAAUUAGAACAAGUGGGCUCACAGAUAUAAUCCAGUUGGAUCAUAAGUGGUGAUUUCAACAAUGUGUUAACAGUUGAUGAUAGGUUGGGGGCACCAGUAACAGCGGUUGAAGUACAAGUAUUCAGGGAAUUGAUAGACAAACUAUAACUCACUCCAUUGAUGAACAUAGGUGGUCAGUACACUUAGUGCAACAAGCGCCAAGAUAAUAGUAUGGUAUAUAGCAAAAUUGAUUGGGCACUAGGUAAUUUUAAUUGGCUACUGCAUUAUGGGCAUAUUGAGGCUAAAUAUCUUAAUCCAGGUGUAUCUGAUCAUGCCCUAAUUGUCAUUCAGAUAAACAUAAGCACUCAGCAAUAUAACCAACAUCCUAAGCCAUUCAAACUGUUUAGUAGUGUCAUGAAACAUCAGGAGUUUGGAGGCCUGGUAAAAAAAACAUGGAAGCAGCCAGUAGAGGGAAAUUGGAUGUACAAGGUAUGGCAAAAUCUGAAUAGAUUGAAGAGUGAAUUGAAGGGGCUGAACACUUACAUGGCAAGUUACCAACAGAGACUGCAACAAGCUAGAGUGGAGCUGGAAGCAAUACAAACAAGGUUGGCUUCCCAACCUUUGAAUCAGCAGCUUAUGUCACUGGAAAACAAAUAUUGAUGGAGAUAGAAAAAUAGAGUACAGUGGGGGAAUAAGUUUUGAGAUAAAAAUCUAGAGCUCAGUGGAUUCAGUGUGGAGAUGCUAACUCCAGAUACUUCCAUGCCCAAAUGAAGAUGAGAAUUAGCCACAAUACUAUAAAUUCAGUCUACACAAGCACUAAUACUAAGCUCAUUGAUCCAAUACUUGUUAAGAGGAAAUUCAUUGACUUCUUCACCAGUCUGAUGGCUGAAGCAGGCCCUAUACACAAAUGUCCUGAUGCUGAGAUAAUUAAGAAAGGUAAUUGCUUAAACCAUGAUCUGCAAACACAACUUAUAAAGAAAGUCACAAAGGCAGAAAUAUUGGAAGCCAUUAAAAGCAUACCACAGGAUAAAGCACCAGGAGUAGAUGUCUUUCCAAUUGAGUUCUUUACACAAUAAUGGGAUGCAUUUAAAGAAGAUAUAUAUGAGGUAGUGCUGAGUUUCUUUAGAACUGAGAAAUGCUAAAAGCUUAGAAUAGCACAGCUAUAACCUUGGUACCAAAGACACAAGGGCAUACACAGGUAAAAGACUUCAGACCCAUUGCUUGUUGCACAAUAUUGUAUAAAAUUGUGACCAAAAUACUGACAGGAAGGCUGAAGUUGGUUAUUAGGGACCUAGUUGGUGGCCCACAAUCUGCUUUCAUUAUAGGAAGGUGUAUUACUGAUAAUAUUUUUUUUACCCAUGAAUUGCUUAAAGGGUAUACAAGAAAAGGGAUGAGUGCAAGGUAUGUGCUGAAGGUGGAUAUAUGGAAAGCAUAUGGCACACUAGAUUGGGAUUUCCUGAGGAGUAUGUUACUGAACCUGGGAUUUCCUCACAAGUUUAUUGUGUGGAUCAUGGAAUGCAUUACCACAUUCAUAUAUUCACUAACACUAAAUGGUGGCUUAACAAAAACUUUUGAAGGGAAAAGGGGAAUUAGACAAGGAGAUCCAAUGUCCCCUUACUUGUUUUGUAUAGCUAUGGAAUAUCUUUAAAGAGAAUUUGAUCACCUGGCACAAAAAAAGGACUUCCAAUUCCACCCAAGAUGCAAACAACAGAGAGUUAUUCAUGUGUGUUUUGUUGAUGACCUCCUCAUGUUUUGCAGGGCUAAUAUAAAGUUUGUAAAGCUACUAUAUGCAAUAUUUUUGAAGUUUUUAGAAGCAUCAAGCCUACAAGCAAAUGCAGAUAAAAGCUCUAUCUAUAUAACAGGGGUGUCUGAGAGAGUAAAGGAUGAGAUUAUAUAACAUCUAAGCUUCCGGGAAGGACACUUCCCAUUCAAAUAUUUAGGGGUUCCCCUUGCAGCUAAGAAGUUAUCUAUAGGUUAAUGUUGGCCUUUGGUGGAGAAAAUAACAGCUAGAAUUAACUGUUGGACAUUCAAGUUAUUGUCUUAUACAGGUCGAGUCCAAUUGAUAAAAUCGGUAUUGUUUGGUGUUCAAUCAUAUUGGUCACAAAUCUUUAUGCUCCCUAAGAAAGUAAUGAAGAUGAUCAUGCACUCUGUAGAUCAUUCCUCUAGACAGGUAUAGUAGUGAUGUCCAAAAAAGCCCUUAUUGCUUGGGACAAGGAGUGUUUACCUGAGGCUACAGGUGGCCUUAACAUCAUAGACCUGGAACUAUGGAACAAAGCUGCAAUUACAAAACACUUAUGGGCCAUAGCAAUGAAUAAAGAUUAAAUGUGGAUUAAAUGGAUACACAGUGUACAUCAAGAAUAAAGAAUUGGAUUCCCUCAUAAUACCCAAGAAUGCAGCCUGUUUUUUUAGGAAGAUUUUGGCCACUAGGGAGCUUGUUCUUAGACUACAAAGAAUUCAAGGUGAUCUCAUGAGUAGGCUACAGCAACUCCAGCACUUUGAUGUUUUUAGCAUUUAGAGAAUGUAUAAGCAAAUGAGGCCACAAUACCCAAGAGUUCCCUGGAAGAAUAUGAUACUUCAGCCUCAACUACAUCCCAGGUACAAAUUUACACUUUGGUUAGCAUCCCGUGAAAGACUAGCUACUGUGGAUAGGCUAAUGAAGAUGGGCAUCCAAGUACCUAAAACUUAUGUAUUUUGUAGGCUUGAUGAUGAAGUAUUUGAGCACUUAUUCUUUAGCUGCCAAUAUGUGAAAGUUAUAUGGACAAGACUGCUGGUAUGGAUGGGUCAUCAACAAAGUAUUGGCACAUAGAAAGAAGAAGUACAAUGGUUUUGUAAAGGACCAAGAAGGAAGACAGGGCAUUGGGAAAUUGGCAAUUGUGUCUUUGGAAUAAUGGUCUACUUGAUUUGGCAAGAAAGGAACAACAUCAAAUUUCAACAAGCUACCACUUGUACAGAUAGAUUAUACAAGGAGGUGGCACGACACAUACACAUGAAGAGCAGGAAGACCAGAGCAUGGCAUGGAAUAAUACAAAUGUUGCAGCACUACCCUUAGAACAAUACAAAUGGAACAAUACAAAUGUUGCAGCACUACCCUUUAAACCCAGUGGAUAUGGGCAUGUUGAUGAAGUUCAUCAUAUGAUUUAAUUAAAAUAUUCCUAUAUGAUAUGUACUUUUCCCAAGUGAGACAUGUUCAUUAUGUUUCUAGUCCUUUUUUUAAGGGUAACUUACAUAAAUCCCUGAAUCUUUAAGUGAUAUUACAUAAAAUUUUGACUAUUUUGUUAAUUACAUCUUAUUUCGAUUUCUUGAAAUAAUGAUACAUAUGGUAUACGAUGAUACAUAUAAAAAGUGAUACAUUUGAAACAGAUUAGAUCUUUAUUUUAGAAAGUAACAGAUUCUCUUUUAUUCUAUGGAGCAAAUCACGCACAAUCUGUUACAAGCUGAAAAUCCUCAAUUCCCUUCGACCAAAUUUCAAAUUUAAAGCAAACCAUAUUAUUAAUACGUGAUUCAUUGAAAACACAUAUUAGAAAAAACAAUGAAAAAAUUGAAUUUCUUGAGAAGUUCAAAAGAUAUGCGUACCAAGAACUUCAACUCCACCAAAUAGUAAUUUCGUUCAACUUCAAGAUUGUUCCACCUAUUGAUUGGUCUUCAAUAGUUGUCCGUUGAUUUAAUUUUGUAUGAGAGAAUUCAAAGUGAUUUAAAUUAUUCUUUUUAAAUUUGUUGCAGUAAGAUGUCGUUAAAGCUAGCGUCUUCAAGGUUGAAAUUGUUGAAGAACAAGAAAGAAGUGCAAAUGAAACAAAUGAAAAGAGAACUGGCCUAGUUACUCGAUUUUGGUCAGGACCAAACAUCAAGAAUUCACGUGGAGCACGUUGUGAAGAAGAGAAGGAGAAGAAGAAGAAUUAUUAUUUGAAU